rnacentral:rRNA from 1 species
AUUGAACGCUGGCGGCAGGCCUAACACAUGCAAGUCGAGCGGAUGAAGGGAGCUUGCUCCUGGAUUCAGCGGCGGACGGGUGAGUAAUGCCUAGGAAUCUGCCUGGUAGUGGGGGAUAACGUCCGGAAACGGGCGCUAAUAUCGCAUACGUCCUGAGGGAGAAAGUGGUGGAUCUUCGGACCUCACGCUAUUAGAUGAGCCUAGGAUGGAUUAGCUAGUUGGUGAGGUAAAGGCCUACCAAGGCGACGAUCCGUAACUGAUCUGAGAGGAUGAUCAGACACACUGGAACUGAGACACGGUCCAGACUCCUACGGGAGGCAGCAGUGGGGAAUAUUGGACAAUGGGCGAAAGCCUGAUCCAGCCAUGCCGCGUGUGUGAUGAAGGUCUUCGGAUUGUAAAGCACUUUAAGUUGGGAGGAAGGGCAGUAAGUGAAUACCUUGCUGUUUUGACGUUACCAACAGAAUAAGCACCGGCUAACUUCGUG